AUUGAACGCUGGCGGCAGGCCUAACACAUGCAAGUCGAGCGAGCGGCGGACGGGUGAGUAAUGUCUGGGAAACUGCCUGAUGGAGGGGGAUAACUACUGGAAACGGUAGCUAAUACCGCAUACCAUCAGAUGUGCCCCGAUGGGAUUAGCUAGUAGGUGGGGUAACGGCUCACCUAGGCGACGAUCCCUAGCUGGUCUGAGAGGAUGACCAGCCACCCUGGAACGUAGACACGGUCCAGACUCCUACGGGAGGCAGCAGUGGGGAAGAUUGCACAAGGGGCGCAAGCCUGAUGCAGCCAUGCCGCGUGUGUGAAGAAGGCCUUCGGGUUGUAAAGCACUUGCAGCGGGGAGGCGUUACCCGCAGAAGAAGCACCGGCUAACUCCGUGCCAGCCGCCGCGGUAAUAG
rnacentral:rRNA from 1 species